rnacentral:rRNA from 1 species
UACGUAGGCAGCGAGCGUUGUUCGGAGUUACUGGGCGUAAAGCGUGCGUAGGCGGUUGUCUAAGUUUGGUGUGAAAUCUCCCGGCUUAACUGGGAGGGUGCGCCGGAAACUGGGUGACUGGAGUGUCGGAGAGGUAAGCGGAAUUCCUGGUGUAGCGGUGAAAUGCGUAGAGAUCAGGAGGAACACCUGUGGUGUAGACAGCUUACUGGACGAUAACUGACGCUGAGGCACGAAAGCGUGGGUAGCAAACAGG